rnacentral:lncRNA from 1 species
AAGAAGGUACAAUGCCGGUAGACAAAGCCGCCAGAUCUUGACAAUCCCGCGGUGGAUGACAAAGGCAUGAAAGUGGAUGCUAUUAACACAUCUUUUGUGACGUGGAAAGAAAAGUUAAUGGGUACUACGGUUGGAACAAUGAAUCAUUAGAAGGACAAAGACUUCGAUCUACAAUAAGGAGAUGCUAAAUUAGAAAUAGUUGAUGGAUCUAAAAGAGUACAUCAAUUCAUUGCAAAACCCAAGGCUCGGAUAGUUAUCGUGAAGUUAUUGGGUAGAAGGAUUUUUUAUAUCACAAUGUGUGGGAAAUUGAAAGCAAUCUGGAAAACGAAGUUUCCAUUGCAAAUUAUUGACUUGGAAAACAAUUACUUUUCAGUCAAAUUUCAAGAGGAGGAGGAGUACCUUAAUGCUUUGUCCGGGGGUCCCUGGACGAUCUUUGGACAUUAUCUCACUGUGCAAUAGUGGAUGCCAACCUUCUCGUCAGACCAAUGUCAUCCUAAACAUUUAAUGGUUUAGAUUAGGUUACCAGGGCUAUCGGAAGGAAUGUGCACCAAAAGCCUUUUGAAGUUCAUUGGGAGUAUAACUGGUAUAGUUGCAAAGAUUGAUUGGAAUACUGACAAUAGUUGUAAAGGGCAAUUUGCGAGAUUGACUGUGUAUGUGGAGUUGGGGAAAUCGCUUGUCUCAAAAAUCAUAAUUGAUGGGAAAUUACAGAGGGUUGAAUAUGAAUCCUUACCCAUGGUUUGCCUCGAUUGUGGAAGGUUUGGGCAUUCCCAGGAAGAAUGUCCACACAAGUCAAGCCAGGAAACAACACUGGAGGGGGGAGGAAAAAUCACGAGGUGUGGAACUGAGACUAUAGGGGCAAGUGUAGGAAGAAUGCUUCGGUCAUUGGAUGAUUGUCAAGCAUAGAUAGCGGCGGAAGGCUUAUAUGGUCAAGAAAACUAGCAGUGGUUUGGAGAAUGGCGUGGUUGGAGGAUUGAAGAGUGGUGCGACUAGUGGAUCCAGAUUUAGAAUCCUUGGCGAGAUAUUUAGAAACAAAAAUUU